GAUCAUGGCUCAGGAUGAACGCUAGCUACAGGCUUAACACAUGCAAGUCGAGGGGGAAACGAUAUUGGAAGCUUGCUUCCGAUAGGCGUCGACCGGCGCACGGGUGAGUAACGCGUAUCCAACCUGCCCAUCACUUGGGAAUAACCUUGCGAAAGUAAGACUAAUACCCGAUGAUAUCUCUAGACGACAUCUGAAAGGGAUUAAAGAUUUAUCGGUGAUGGAUGGGGAUGCGUCUGAUUAGCUUGUUGGCGGGGUAACGGCCCACCAAGGCGACGAUCAGUAGGGGGUUCUGAGAGGAAGGUCCCCCACAUUGGAACUGAGACACGGUCCAAACUCCUACGGGAGGCAGCAGUGAGGAAUAUUGGUCAAUGGGCGAGAGCCUGAACCAGCCAAGUAGCGUGCAGGACGACGGCCCUAUGGGUUGUAAACUGCUUUUAUAAGGGAAUAAAGUGAGUCUCGUGAGACUUUUUGCAUGUACCUUAUGAAUAAGGACCGGCUAAUUCCGUG
rnacentral:rRNA from 1 species